ACUGGUAGGCUUGGGACCGGGAGAGGUGGGAGGUACUCCAGGGGUAGGGGUGAAAUCUCGUAACCCUUGGGGGACCACCGAUGGCGAAGGCAUCCCACCAGAACGGGUCCGACGGUGAGGGACGAAAGCUGGGGGCACGAACCGGAUUAGAUACCCGGGUAGUCCCAGCUGUAAACGAUGCUCGCUAGGUGUCAGGUGCGGUGCGACCGCAU
rnacentral:rRNA from 1 species